rnacentral:rRNA from 1 species
UAGGGAAUAUUGGUCAAUGGAUGGAAGUCUGAACCAGCCAUGCCGCGUGCAGGAAGACGGCCUUCUGGGUUGUAAACUGCUUUUGCCAGGGGAUAAAAGGCCCAUGCGUGGGACAUUGAAGGUACCUGGUGAAUAAGCCACGGCUAACUACGUGCCAGCAGCCGCGGUAAUACGUAGGUGGCGAGCGUUGUCCGGAUUUAUUGGGUUUAAAGGGUGCGUAGGCGUCCCUGCAAGUUUUAGGUGAAAUGCCCAAGCUCAACUUGGGAGCUGCCUGAAAAACUGCCGGGAUUGAGUACAGAUGAGGUAGGCGGAAUUGACGGUGUAGCGGUGAAAUGCAUAGAUAUCGUCAAGAACACCGAUAGCGAAGGCAGCUUACUAGGCUGUAACUGACGCUGAUGCACGAAAGUGUGGGGAUCAAACAGG